UAAUUCGUAUGGUGCAAGCGUUAUUCGGAUUUAUUGGGCGUAAAGGGUUCGUAGGUGGUUUAUUAAGUCAGAUGUGAAAUCCAACGGCUCAACCGUUGAACUGCAUUUGAAACUGAUAAACUAGAGUAUUGGAGAGGUAAGUGGAAUUUCAGGUGUAGCGGUGGAAUGCGUAGAUAUCUGAAGGAACACCAAAAGCGAAGGCAGCUUACUGGACAAUUACUGACACUGAGGAACGAAGGCGUGGGUAGCGAAAAGGAUUAGAUACCCUUGUAGUCCACGCAGUAAACGUUGUGUACUAGUUGUGGGGGGAAUUAGCCCCCUCCGUGACUGAGCUAACGCAUUAAGUACACCGCCUGGGGACUACGGUCGCAAGACUA
rnacentral:rRNA from 1 species